rnacentral:rRNA from 1 species
GACGAACGCUGGCGGCGUGCCUAAUACAUGCAAGUUGAGCGCUGAAGGUUGGUACUUGUACCAACUGGAUGAGCAGCGAACGGGUGAGUAACGCGUGGGGAAUCUGCCUUUGAGCGGGGGACAACAUUUGGAAACGAAUGCUAAUACCGCAUAAAAACUUUAAACACAAGUUUUAAGUUUGAAAGAUGCAAUUGCAUCACUCAAAGAUGAUCCCGCGUUGUAUUAGCUAGUUGGUGAGGUAAAGGCUCACCAAGGCGAUGAUACAUAGCCGACCUGAGAGGGUGGUCGGCCACAUUGGGACUGGGACACGGCCCAAACUCCUACGGGAGGCAGCAGUAGGGAAUCUUCGGCAAUGGACGAAAGUCUGACCGGGCAACGCCGCGUGAGUGAAGAAGGGUUUCGGAUCGUAAAACUCUGUUGGUAGAGAAGAACGUUGGUGAGAGUGGAAAGCUCAUCAAGUGACGGUAACUACCCAGAAAGGGACGGCUAACUACGUG